AUUGAACGCUGGCGGCAGGCUUAACACAUGCAAGUCGAGCGGAGAUGAGGUGCUUGCACCUUAUCUUAGCGGCGGACGGGUGAGUAAUGCUUAGGAAUCUGCCUAUUAGUGGGGGACAACAUUCCGAAAGGGAUGCUAAUACCGCAUACGCCCUACGGGGGAAAGCAGGGGAUCUUCGGACCUUGCGCUAAUAGAUGAGCCUAAGUCGGAUUAGCUAGUUGGUGGGGUGAAGGCCUACCAAGGCGACGAUCGGUAGCGGGUCUGAGAGGAUGGGCCGCCACACUGGGACUGAGACACGGCCCAGACUCCUACGGGAGGCAGCAGUGGGGAAUAUUGGACAAUGGGCGGAAGCCUGAUCCAGCCAUGCCGCGUGUGUGAAGAAGGCCUUUUGGUUGUAAAGCACUUUAAGCGAGGAGGAGGCUACCUGGAUUAAUACUCUAGGAUAGUGGACGUUACUCGCAGAAUAAGCACCGGCUAACUCUGUGCCAGCCGCCGCGGUAACAC
rnacentral:rRNA from 1 species